rnacentral:lncRNA from 1 species
AUGUCUUUUGGCACCUGAAUAAUUUCUAUUUUGCAGUAGACAGAAGAAUGGACAUUGGAUAGGAAUCAUACCUGCUGCCAACAACAAAUCUAUUUACUCUUGGAGCCUACAGUCAGCAUACUAAUUGUGAAAUUCUAUACUUAUUACUUACAUUCUAGAACCUGGCGGUAUCUCAAUACAUGAAUGAAUAAUGAUGAAUAACAACUUUAUCUUUUUUAAACUGACAUUUGGCAGCCAGCCAGAAUGUAAGAAGGGCCCCACAUUACUUGUACUAGGAAUAAAGAAAUACUAGAAAUAGCUACCAGGACAGUGGGGAGGGCAAGUAUGUGUUUUUUAGGAAUGCUCCUUCAAAGAAGAACAAAGUGAAUAGUACUAGCUUCAUUUCUGUAACUGCUAAAAUACGUGUAUUAUUGUAAAAUAAGACCUAUUUUAGAAUGGACAUUGGAAGGAACUCAUACUGAUUUUUUUUACCCAAGUUUAGAGUUUUGUCCAAUAUUUGUUUAUCUUAACUUUCGUAUUACCUUCCUUUUUUGUCUUUAAUGAAUACGUAAAAUUGAUAAAAAUGUAAUAACUUAUUGUUUUGUUGUACACAAAAGUUCAUUUUUUUCAUAUAUACUUAAAAUAUUUACACACUGUACUGAGAUUUAACAUCCUGCUGUCAAUAAUGGAAAGAAUCUGAAUCUAGAAAAUCCAAUUAGACUAAUGAUAUCAAGGGAAGCUCUAUACUUCUCAUUACCUUUAAGUGGUUCCUAGCAACUAGUCAAAAAUACGGAAACACAUAGCUACAGACCAUGCAUCAUGACAGCCAAAACAUUUAAAAUUUUAUUCAUCUAUCUAUCUAAUCUUAGUCUAUAAUUACUAUAAUAUCUACUGCCUUAUCAAAUGAUUUAUACCACUAGAAAAUACUCAAUAAGGAUAUAAAGAUAAAAUUUAAAUAUAAAAUAAGAUAAUCAGAGCAAAGGAGAUUAGGUAACAACAACAACGACCAACCCGAUAGUUAUCAAAUGAAAUGUAUACAUGAUUACUCUUUUCUUUAAUCUGGUCUAAGAUUUCUCAUACCUGGGGAAGCUCAUUCCAGAGAAUUUCGAGAUCAGUAUUUUGUGACACAGUUAAAUACACAUCAGAGAAUUUGAACCGAAGGAAAUAUGAUUGUCCAUUAACAGUUAAAUUAUGAUUUUUAAUGGAAUAUUGACUCUUAAUAAGCUGACCUUGAAUGAAAGUGAACUGAAUACAUGCGCACAUGCAUAACACAACCACACAAACACAGAGAGAGAGAGAGAGAGAACAGAAAGAGACAGAGAGAGAGAAAAAAAUUUGAAGAAGAGUUCUUGGUCAUGGAAGCAUAGAAGAAGGAGCAAUGUAUCUCCAGGUUAGUGUAUCCAAAUUGUGUUAAGCAAACAUGGUGGGUUUUUCCCCCAAGAGUUAUCGAGGAUUGAGUUAAACAAUGUAAACAAGUUCUGGAAACUCUGAGUUAAACAAUGUUAGACCAGUUUCCUUCUUAUAGGAAUUCUCAGGUCUUUAUAUUUAUUUUGCAUUAUGACUCUGUAAGGGGGAAUGAAGCAUAUAAGAUUUCCCAAAGUUGGUUGACAGUUACAGUAGAUGCUACGCCAUGAUUUUAUUGCAGUUCCCCUUCCUGCACAAAGAAAGAUGCAGCUUCCCCUGCUAUUAGGUUAGGACAACGUGACUGCCUUCUGGCUAACAAGGUGAAACAGGAGGGGUGUAAGCCAUUCAAAGCCUGGACUUAUUCUGGAAAUUCUGCAGUUUUCUCUGCUUUCGUUCUGACGUUGGAGGUCACAUACUGCAGACAGCAUAACUGCAUGACGGCGAAAGUCACCUAUUCCGCACUGAAAUGUGAUGUGAAAGGAAAAUACUCUUGUUUUGUCUAGUCAUUAAGAUUUUAGGGUCUACUUGUAAUUUUAGCCUAGCUUUGCCUCACCUGAGGAUUGUGGUCAAGCUCCUCCGUUUGGGGAGCAUUUACAAAUAUCCUAUUUCUUAACCUGAAAUGUUGUGCAGAGACAAAUGGUUGAAAAACACAUGGCCAAAUACUUGCUUGGAUUAUUUUGCCUAUAGGAUUACUAGUGAGUUAAAGAUAGAACAAUUUUACCAAAAUCCUGAGUCUUAGUUUCUGAAUGUUUUAUUUCUCACUUGGAGGUCACUACCCAGAUGGCAAGUGUAGUAAAUUAGAAAAAGUAAUUCAAUUCAGAUCAAUAAGACAUAAGUUUUAGACAUUUGCUUUCACGUAAUAAUGAUUUUAGAGCUUUGUUUUGUCUGUUGGUCAGGAAAGCAGAUGGUGAAAGGAUAAUUGGUCAUCAUUGUUUCUGCCUGUUUAAAAAAUUGUGGUCAGUCAGCUUCCAAAGCUCAACCUUUUUUCAAUUUUCAGGUCCAGUUGUCUCCCUGGAAUUCUGGAUGUAAUUUAUUAUAACACUAUGUUUCCUUCGUAAAGGAGAAUUGUCUGUGCAGGUAUCUUCUUUCACACGAUUUUUAAAAAACUAUUAACUAAACUCUGCAUUUUAUUUGAAUUUCACUAGUUUUUCCCUUACGCUUCUUUCCUGUUCCAGAAUCCCAUCUUGGACACCACAUUCUAUUCAGGCAUCAGGCCUCUUGAGCCAACUCUGGGCUUUGACAGUUUCUUAGACUUAUGUUGUCUGGCAUUUCCUUAUCUGGGUAGGUAUCUCUAUCAUCAACUUGGCUAGAUUAUAGUACCCAGUUAUUUAACCACAUGCUAACCUAGGUGGUAGAGUGAAGGAAUUUGGUAGAUACAGAGGCACAUCCACAGAUGGUCCACAAAUUAGGAUGGUUUGACUUUAGGUUUUUUGCUUUACAGUAGUAAAAGCGAUACACAUUCAGUAGAAACUGCACAUUGAAUUUUCAUCCUUUCCUGAGCUAGUGAUAAAUGGUAAGAUACACUCUUGGGAUGCUGGCAGCAAGCUGCAGUGCCCAGUCAGCCAUGUGAUCAUGAGAACAAACAACUGCCGUGCUUACAACCAUUCUGUCUUCUUCUUUUGGCACAUCAUUCAAUAAAUACAUAAGAUAUUCAACACUCGAUUAUACAAUAGGCUUGGUGUUAGGUGAUUUUGCCAAACCAUAGGCUAAUAGUAAGUGUUCGGAGCGUGCUUAAGGUAGGCUAGGCUAAGGUGUACUGUUCUGUUGGUUGGGUGUGUUAAAUGCAUUUCAACUUCUAAUUUUUUGUAACUUAAGAUGGUUUUCCAGAGAUGUAACUCCAUUGUGAGCCUUAGGAGCAAAAACUGAGGUUUUCCAGAGAAGG